rnacentral:rRNA from 1 species
GAGUUUGAUCCUGGCUCAGGAUGAACGCUGGCGGCGUGCUUAACACAUGCAAGUCGAACGAGUUACAUUAGAGGAAGUUUUCGGAUGAAAUCUAAUGUAGCUAGUGGCGGACGGGUGAGUAACGCGUGGGAAACCUGCCCUAUACAGGGGAAUAGCCUCGGGAAACCGGGAUUAAUACCCCAUAAAACUCUAGAAUCGCAUGAUUCAUGAGCCAAAGAUUUAUCGGUAUAGGAUGGUCCCGCGUCUGAUUAGCUAGUUGGUGAGGUAAAGGCUCACCAAGGCGACGAUCAGUAGCCGGCCUGAGAGGGUGAACGGCCACACUGGAACUGAGACACGGUCCAGACUCCUACGGGAGGCAGCAGUGGGGAAUAUUGCACAAUGGGGGAAACCCUGAUGCAGCGACGCCGCGUGAGCGAAGAAGGCCUUCGGGUCGUAAAGCUCUGUCCUAAGGGAAGAAGAAGACGGUACCUUAGGAGGAAGCCCCGGCUAACUACGUGCCAGCAGCCGCGGUAAUACGUAGGGGGCGAGCGUUAUCCGGAAUUACUGGGCGUAAAGGGUGCGCAGGCGGCCAUUUAAGUCAGAUGUGAAAGGCUACGGCUUAACCGUAGUUAGCAUUUGAAACUAGAAGGCUUGAGUGCAGUAGAGGAGAGUGGAAUUCCUAGUGUAGCGGUGAAAUGCGUAGAUAUUAGGAGGAACACCAGUGGCGAAGGCGACUCUCUGGACUGCAACUGACGCUGAGGCACGAAAGCGUGGGUAGCGAACAGGAUUAGAUACCCUGGUAGUCCACGCCGUAAACGAUGAUCACUCGCUGUUAGCGAUAUACAGUUAGCGGCUAAGCAAAAGCAUUAAGUGAUCCACCUGGGGAGUACGGCCGCAAGGCUGAAACUCAAAGGAAUUGACGGGGGCCCGCACAAGCGGAGGAACAUGUGGUUUAAUUCGAUGAUACGCGAGGAACCUUACCUGGGCUUAAAUGUAGAGUGCAUGAGGUAGAAAUACUUCUUCCCUUCGGGGCUCUUUGCAAGGUGCUGCAUGGUUGUCGUCAGCUCGUGCCGUGAGGUGUCGGGUUAAGUCCCAUAACGAGCGCAACCCUUAUCGUUAGUUGCCAGCGGGUAAAGCCGGGAACUCUAGCGAAACUGCCGGUGUAAACCGAGAGGAAGGUGGGGAUGACGUCAAAUCAGCACGGCCCUUAUGUCCAGGGCUACACACGUGUUACAAUGGCCGGUACAGAGGGCAGCUACCUGGAGACAGGAUGCGAAUCUCGAAAGCCGGUCUCAGUUCGGAUCGGAGUCUGCAACUCGACUCCGUGAAGCUGGAUUCGCUAGUAAUCGCGCAUCAGCCAUGGCGCGGUGAAUACGUUCCCGGGCCUUGUACACACCGCCCGUCAAGCCAUGGAAGUUGGGGGUACCUGAAGUCCGUAACCGCGAGGAGCGGCCUAGGGUAAAACCAGUGACUGGGGCUAAGUCGUAACAAGGUAACCGUA